GGAGAGGUGUCCGAGUCUGGUUUAAGGAGCUGGUUUCGAAAACCAGUGUGGGUUUAUACUCACCGGGGGUUCAAAUCCCUCCCUCUCCG
rnacentral:tRNA from 1 species